AACGAACGCUGGCGGCAUGCCUAACACAUGCAAGUCGAACGAGACCUUCGGGUCUAGUGGCGCACGGGUGCGUAACGCGUGGGAACCUGCCCUUAGGUUCGGAAUAACUCCCCGAAAGGGGUGCUAAUACCGGAUAAUGUCUUCGGACCAAAGAUUUAUCGCCUUUGGAUGGGCCCGCGUUGGAUUAGCUAGUUGGUAGGGUAAAAGCCUACCAAGGCGACGAUCCAUAGCUGGUCUGAGAGGAUGAUCAGCCACACUGGGACUGAGACACGGCCCAGACUCCUACGGGAGGCAGCAGUGGGGAAUAUUGGACACAGGGCGAAAGCCUGAUCCAGCAAUGCCGCGUGAGUGAUGAAGGCCUUAGGGUUGUAAAGCUCUUUUACCCGGGAGGAUAAUGACAGUACCGGGAGAAUAAGCUCCGGCUAACUCCGU
rnacentral:rRNA from 1 species